GAUGAACGCUGGCGGCGUGCUUAACACAUGCAAGUCGAACGAUUAACCCUCCUUCGGAAGGUCAUAAGGUGGCGAACGGGUGAGUAACACGUGACCAACCUGCCUCUCACAUUGGGAUAACUUAGAGAAAUCUAAGCUAAUACCAAAUACUCUUGAUCUGCCGCAUGACAGACCAAGGAAAGCUUUCGCGGUGAGAGAUGGGGUCGCGGCCCAUUAGGUAGUUGGUGGGGUAGAGGCCUACCAAGCCGAUGAUGGGUAGCCGGGUUGAGAGACCGACCGGCCACAUUGGGACUGAGAUACGGCCCAGACUCCUACGGGAGGCAGCAGUGGGGAAUUUUGCGCAAUGGGCGAAAGCCUGACGCAGCAACGCCGCGUGCGGGAUGACGGCCUUCGGGUUGUAAACCGCUUUCAGUGGGAAAGAUAAUGACGGUACCCACACAAGAAGCUCCGGCUAAAUACGUGCCAGCAGCCGCGGUAAUACGUAUGGAGCAAGCGUUAUCCGGAUUUAUUGGGCGUAAAGCGCGCGUAGGCGGCUUGUUAAGCAAGGUCUUAAAUCUUGGGGCUCAACCUCAAGCCGGAUCUUGAACUGGCAGGCUCGAGUAUGGUAGAGGAAAGUGGAAUUCCCAGUGUAGCGGUGGAAUGCGCAGAUAUUGGGAAGAACACCGAUGGCGAAGGCAGCUUUCUGGGCCAUUACUGACGCUGAGGUGCGAAAGCUAGGGGAGCAAACAGGAUUAGAUACCCUGGUAGUCCUAGCCGUAAA
rnacentral:rRNA from 1 species